rnacentral:rRNA from 1 species
UACGGAGGGUGCAAACGUUGCUCGGAAUUAUUGGGCGUAAAGCGCAUGUAGGCGGACUUUCAAGUCGGGUGUGAAAUCCCUCAGCUUAACUGAGGACGUGCAUUCGAAACUGUUAGUCUUGAGUAUGGAAGAGGAUCGCGGAAUUCCCGGUGUAGAAGUGAAAUUCGUAGAUAUCGGGAGGAACACCAGUGGCGAAGGCGGCGAUCUGGUCCAAUACUGACGCUGAGAUGCGAAAGCGUGGGGAGCAAACAGG